ACACCUCCACAAUCAAUUUCAGCCUUACAAAUGAAGGAGAAAACGCUGUUGUAUAAGAGACAUUUGACAGUAAUCAAACAUGAAAUGGGACAAGGAAGAUGUGCAACAAAGGUCCUGCAGUCAGCAAUUAAAACACCUGGAUGGCAACAUUAGCUUUAUGGGUGUAGUGAAUUAACCAUGGAAACCACAGCAUGAGCAUUUUUCAAUCAGGUAGAAUGGCUUAUUUCACAAAACAAUAGACAGAGCUAGGGAAGUAUGUUUUAUUGUCAAUGUAAGGGGUUCCAACCAUUUUCAAGUGUACACCCAUGCACACACACAUAUUAUUGAGUCACCCAAGCACAAACACCAAAGUUUUUUCUUUUUCCAUUGGAAAUACUGUGGUUCUUUGUUCCGUAAUCAGUGGGUUGCCAAUUCCAAACUUGCUCCAUCUGUCUCAGUUGUUGAGCCCUUGGCAAUGACCCUUCACCCACCUUGCCUACUGGUGCAGGUUAGUAGGUCAAAAGCCCCGAUGGCAGAUGCAGCGCAUGGCAGCUUCCACUCUGUCAGGCUCUCUCAGGGCUUGCCACCAUGUGUGAGUGUGUGCAUGAAUGUCUGAAUGUAGUGUGACGUACUUUAAGGUCAUCUAGAUUUGGAAAAGUGGUAUGCAAGAAUAGGCCAUUUAUAAAAGAUCGACGAGGUGAUUACAGCAAGGUUCUGAGGCUGUUUUGUAAAAGGUACAGACUGCAAAACUGCACACGUCAACGUCCUUCUGAAAAACCACAAACCACCCCGAGUUCCUCAGCAAUCCCACAGUGAGUGCAGCACACUACUGCUCACAAAGCACACAGAACUUAAGUUUCUGUAAUCAUACACCUUGACCAGUGCUGACAGACGUGGCCUGGCAUCACACACAGUAAACAGAAAUGCUGCCACUACAGAAGCACAGGCGUGCACUUCCUUGUUGAUGGACUGCAGAAACCCACUCAUAUCUUGGCCCAUUUUUUUUUCUGUAAUGAAGUCUUUAAUCUUAGAUGUGAAGGGGGGUCUUUGGUAGCAUUUUGUAAUGUUUAGAAACUCCUAAGAAACCUGUACAGUUUUUUAAGUUACUUUUCACAACAGUUUUUUAUUUCCUAAAGUUUAUUUUACAGUACUGUAGAAACAUUAAGGUUGUGUAAAAGAUCAAUUAAAGCCAAGGUGGCUCAGCCUUCAACUAACAGGCACGCAAAAGCAGAAGAGUUGUACUGUUUUUGUCAUUCCUGAUAAGCUAAGAAUACACAGAUCAUUUGAAUCAGUUUUCCGUUGAAACACUAAGUUGAGCAAUUGCUUCCUGCCAAGUAUACGUCAGCUAAAUCUUUACAAAAAAAACCUAACAAACGUCUGGCCAUUUUGACAAACAGAAAUAGUUUGACAGAACAUAAUAAAGCAAUGUCUUAUCGUGAAAUGGAAACCAGUUGUAUUUAUUCAUACUUCUUCCUGCUAUCAAACUUCUGCGUUUGUCUGGUUUCUCACACCUUUUGAAUGAAACUUUCCUGAACCUGAACGGGAAAAUACUAACCUUGCACUGAAACAUGCAUCACUGAAAAUCAGUUGACUUUCAUCAUCUGAAGGAUGAGUUCACAAGACAAGCUUGCAUUUUCAUUGUUAGAUCAAAAUAACAAUAAACAUAUGAAUGUUCCCACAGAUUAGCUUGUCUCAUUUCCAUUUUAAGGCAUAACCGUGUCAGGAGGUCAUUUUAUGAUGACUUAUUUAGGAAUGUAUGUUUUCAGAAUGCAUGCAAAGAGGAAGAAGAAAAUAAAAGUGAACUUUGUCCUUUACUCUUAUGAAGGUUGCAUAAAAUGAACUGCGCUGUACAAAGCUUGGAAAAACAAGAAAACAAAACAAAAAGAAAACAUAGACUGAGGUGGAAAGAGAUGACCCCCAGAAGGCUAAAACCUUCACUCUUCCCCUGACAGACUAGCUUGAAAACUAAAAAAGCACAUUACUCAGACCCUCCUACUACAACAGACACCACGGCUCUCACUUCCGGUGUGGAAAGCAAUUUUUCUUUUUUUGAACGUGUGUGGGGUUCUAAUCAAGUGUCAGCCGAAGAAGUGUCAGCUACACCAGAUGCUGGUGGUGCAAGAAAAAACUGUUUAUAUAUUAAAAACAUAGAGCAAGAAACUUCUCUAUUUGUUGCAUUUCUAAGAAAGCAGAGCUAACAGAUAAAGAGGAAAUCAGAGAACUGUUGGACCCUACACAGGUGGGAUGAUGAAUUUCUUAAGAUAUUGCUGCAUCGACUGUUCGUUGAUAUGUUGCAUCUUCUGGAUUUUCUGGCCAGCAGAAGCCAAAACGAUCACACAGGUGGCAGGCAGCAGAGUGACCCUGAACUGUACCGACUCAGAAAAAAACAUAACCAUAGCCGCUUGGAAAUUUAAUGGAAAGAAUCUUAUCUCCUUCAAAAGUCCAAAACUUAAACUUAGGUUCAAUGAAAGUGACCGCCUUAAAGUAGAGAUGUCUGAUUUAGAAAGUGAGCGAUAUGCACUCAUCAUAAAAGAAGCCAACAAGACACACGAAGGAAACUACACUUGCGAGAUAACUGCAACUUCAGGAGUUUUUGAUGAGGUCCAGGAGCUUAUAAUUACAGAAAGAAACACCAACAUACUGAUUAUUAUCAUCUCAGCUGCUGUCCCUUCUGUAUGUUUCCUAAUAUUAAUAUCUGCUUUAGUCAUUCUGAAACAAAGAAAAAAGAACAGAUCUCCUUCAGAAAUACGGCAGCAAAAGCAAGUGGAAGAUAUUUAUGAAAACCGUUUGGAAAUUCAGCGCCGCCAAGCUUACCUUAACAAACCCUGAUGUUGCUGCUGUUUACACUGCUUUCAAUAGAACAUUAUUUACAAGGGACACAAUGUUCUAAAUUUACCUUCUUCUCUUAAAUGUCACCUUUAUGGUGGUAGUUAUGAGUCUCUGACGAGGAAACAUGACAGAGGCAAUAUUUGUUUUUCCAAGGUUAAACAGAACAGGUUUCAGUAUUCCACACAGUUUGCUCUGUGGCUUAUCUCAGUUAUUGCUGGCUUUCUACAAAUAUUUAAAUUCAUUGCACUUUUGGACUUUACAUUACACAGCUUCUCUUUUCUUCCUAGUCAAAAGAGUUUUGAUAUAAACCAUGACCACUGACUAUUUUUGGAUUUAAGUGAAACUACAGUGGGAUUCAAAGGCACAUACUUUGAAUUACUCAACAUUUUUGUCAUACCCCUAUUUGGUCAUCGGGCGAGAAGCAGUACAUCUUGGUCAAGUUGUUAGUCUAUCACAAAGGCAGCCAAAACUCCAUGCAGAAAGAAGUCUGAAGUCUCCAUAAAGCGUUAACAAAAACAUAACAUAUUUUUGUUGCAUUUUUAUUUUAUGUGAUAGACCAACACAUUGAAGAGAAUUACUGGGAUGGAAAGGAAAAAGAUAGAUGUUUUUCAGUUUAAUUCCCAUAAAUCAGUCUGAGAGCAUUGCAGAAUAAUGAACACCAAGAUGGCAUGCAUAUCAGGACAAACAUGUGGAAGAAGAUGCUCCGGUCAGAUGGAACGAAAUUGAAACUUUUUUACCCCAAUUUGGGUAAAAAAUUGGGUUCACACCAUUCUUUAAGCUUGGUACAUAUUGUGGGAUUUCAAAAAUUGUACAGGACUGAAACGCAGCACACUGUGUAACCUCAGUGUAAUAACAACUCUUGCCAGACUGGAAAAUGGAAGAUGUCAAUGUCCUGCAGCAACAUUACCUCCUAAAGGCCAGUCAAAUAUAUCAGUUUAUCAUUGACAGGACAGAUUUUAUAUCCAGUUAAACGAAGCACAGUUAUCGUAUUAUUGGGGUUCAUCUCUGAUGUACUUAUUGUUUGAGGGAGACAUUGAAAAGAGAAAUAGGAAAGGGUGGUGGAAGAAGACAUGGCUAAGCAAUUGAGAAUCUGUGGAAAUGCUUUAGGAGGCAUGAAGAAUUAAAGACAAAACCCCAAAAAAGUUAAUGUGGGUUAGAGCAGGUGUAGACACAGGACCAGAGGUGGUUUUAAGAUUUUCUUUGAUAACCAAACAGUGCAGCAUUUUCUUCCUGCUUCAUAUUUGUGCACUACUUUGUGUUGGUCUGUCACACAAAUUCCCCCCAAAACACAUUAGAGACUGUGACCUAAAAUGUUCAAAGGUGGUGAAUGCUGUCGCAAGUCAAUGUGGCGUGUAACAGAAGGAACCAUUUUAACAGCACAAAAACCCAGCUUAUGAAAAGUAGUAUAAUGUGCCAAGAUCCCAUGUGUGCUGAAGAGGGCCUCCUUUAACACAAUACAGAUAGCAUAACAAGGAAACCAGUGGGCAUUUCUGUUGAAAGGCAUAAUGUGAUACUGUAGCAGUUAUUAAGAGAGUUCAAUGGAAAUUAUUGAAAUAAAAAGUAACUGCCCUUCAAACUGUACCAGUCAAAUUAUUUUUAGUCAGUUUUUUUUCUACAGGUAUGAAAUUGCACAAAGUAGCAGCAUUAGAAUAUAAAGAGUUGAUGAAAGUUCUGUUCAAUCAACAAAGACAAUGGGUUUGUUUUUUUUAGGUUGUUGGUUGAAACGACGUUCCAGACAAAGACACAUGAAAUUAAAAAGAAGCUGUAAAACAUUACUUUUGGCAAGCAGCAUAAAUAAAGUUAACAGGUGCAAUCACUGUCAGAACUGACAAAUAAGCAUUCUUUCCUAGCAUAACCUUGUAGCACUCCCCAGUUUCCAUUUUUCUGUCAACACACACCCCAUACCAGCCAUAUCUGCACAACACUCAGGAAAAUCUCAUAACUUAUUUCCUCUAACCAUGUGAUGUGAAGACAUCACAUCAACCUUGUGAUGGCUUCCUCUGAUGACUGAAGUCAACUGAUAGUUGCAUAACUGAGUGACUUUAAUAUUGAGACUGUUCACCUACGUCACACUUGGUCAGCUAUAGCUCUACUUUUACAUAUGUCUAUUUUCAAAGGUGUUGGGUGUGGGAAAAAAAACAAAACUGAGGCACGGAUCUGUUUUUAGGUCUACUUUUAAUAAAGAAGGAAGCUACAAGUAGCUGCAGAAGUAAGUCAAGCAAAAAAUAUGUAACCUUGUGAAACAGAAUAAAAAUCUAUAAGAUGAGGCUGAACAGAAACUACAAACCUAGAAUGUAAUUACGUACAGAAAAAGAACACCAAGUUUUAAACACUACAAGUGAAAAUGUCUUUUCUACACACAGAACACACAUUUAUGAAAUAAGAGAUGAAAAUCACACAACUUUGUCAUUUUGUCAGCUGUAGGGCAUUUAAAUAAAAAAAAGUAACUUUGAGUGUGAUGUUUGCACUCCAAGAAAAAGCUAAUUAUCGUUUAUCAGAAAUGUCAUCAUUGUGUGUCAAGCAGCAGCCACCUUGUUUCAGGAAAUCUAUAUAUAAUGCUAUUGUGAUGCACAGGCUAUGGCCUUUGGCUGCUUUUAGUGUUGUUGGAUUGACCAACCAUGAAAAAUGUCUCCUGUUAAAGGGCAACAGUGUGUCCUCUCUCUCUGUGUCCUUUACUGACCUGCAAGUAACUAAGAAUUUGGGAGUUUUACAUGUGGUUUUGAGGUAACAGUUUUGCUGUACUACUUCCAGCGGUUGGUGUCAGACCAUUGUAUUUAAAACUCCUUUAUGGUUUCGCGUAGACAGAAAAUUGACCUCUUGUACUUAGCAGAAAACAUACGAGUGCUUCAUAUAAGUUCAGCAGUUUAUAAUAUCCAGUAAGUACCUAACAAGGAAUGUGUACACCAAGCUGUUAAAUCAACUAUGUACAAUUUGCUACAGAGACGGUACAUUUUCCAGUUGUUUUAGCAUAGAAAUAACUCCAGUGUGUAACUACAGAGACCCCUAGUAGCUCAGCUGAUGAGCUGAAAUACAGAGCUGCUAUGCAAAAAGUAAUAAUUUAAAUAACUUUAAGCAUAAACAAAUAUUUUAAACGUACAUUUCUAAAGCUACAUCAAUAAACACCAGAUUAUACAAAAAUACAUAGCUUUAAUACUAGGUAUUGUUCACUUGUUAAAAAAAAACUUCUCUCAUUGCUUCAUUUGCAAUGUUAAGGCACUGUUUCUUGCUUCCGGAUGCAGAUUUUUCAGAUGUUUGCAAAUUGGAAAUUAUGUUCGAAUUAAAAUCCCGAAUUUUGUAUCUCUUCCGGAAGAAAAGAAUAUAUGCAAACUGCUGCUGGGCUCUCCAGAAUCAAGAAAAUUACUUUCAAGCUUUGUUGACAUCUUCGCCGAGCUAAUUAACUUUGCCACAAACUCCCACGCAGCACAGCAGGCUGGGUUUGCAGAUUGGGAGCGAUUGUCUAGGGAGGACGGUCUGGGGAGGAUUCGGUCAAACACCAGUUAUAGACUCGACUAUUCUAAAAUGAAAUUGUACAGAAUGUUCCCCUCAAUAUCUUCAAAAUGUGAUAAAUGUAAGUCAGGAUGGUCAAGUCCUGUCACGUCUGUACCGGUCAUGCCCUGAACUCUUCCAGGAUUGUGACAUUUUCAGCUUGUGCUCUGAAGUGUAUAUGUGCAUGUUGGUUCUAGUCCGUAUUGCAUUAUUUGGAUAUUCUCCUUCACUUAGGAACUGCACUAUUUCCGUGCAAACCACUGUGACGUACGGAAUGGUAAUAGCCAACAAAGUAAUAUUAAAAUUGUGGAAAAUUGACAAGGGUCCUCAGUUUAAAAUGUGGUUAUCUGAUUUUACUGAGAUACUUCAUUUGGAGAAAUUGCGGUAUGAUGUUGCGGGCUCCACUAAUUAGUUCUGUAGAAUCUGGCAGCUCUUUUUAGACCUUCUUUCUCAGUCAAACACUGACCCAAACACUCACUCAGCCUUUAGGAUGACAGAUAGUGUCAUCCUAAAGUCUAAAUGGUAAUCAGUGCAGUAUAACCAGUUAUUUAGAUAAUUGCCCUGACUUGUUUUCAUUUUAUUUUAUUUUUAGUAAUGUCAAUUUUUAUUUACAUUAUUGUCGUAUUGGUAAGAGUAUAUUUUUUCUUAUACAGUAAUUUGUUAUAUAUAUGUAUGCUUUAUACUCUUGUGUAUGAUUCAUGUAUGUUGUACUUUGAAAACUUAAACAUAUAUACUGUUUAAGAGAAGAAAACUUCUGUUGAUUACAUUUAGUUUUUCUAAAGCAACUCUUCCAGUAUUGUCUUAGUCUUAUACAGCAGCAGCAUUAAUGUAAUGUGAAAAGCACACUAUGUUGGAUCUGUUGCACAGCUAUACUGGUGAACUUGAGACGAUCUUGGUAUUGCUUUGAUUUUUCAUUGCAGGUAUAAAAGCACACACUCAGCGUAUUCCUAAAGCUAUGUGAUUAUAUAGUAUCUAUUGCUUUAUUUAUUAGAAGACAAGUUCAAAUACUUUACUCUUCACACUUCUGUGCAGAGUGUAAAAGGUGCCCUAGUUUACCAGCAUGCUGGUUGACCUGGUUGCCAUUGCUGACAUCAGCAACAUUUAUGAAAACCAGAACAGCUUUGGUACAUUUUCACACUGUAGUGUUAUAUCUUUCUGCUUGUGUGCUUAAAACAAACCAGACGUUUGAGUUGGUGUCACUAAAUACUAUUUUUAGUUUCAGUAGAUUCAAACUUUAUGAGAAUAACAAGCGAGUUCGAUGGUAUUAAGAGUGACGCUGACUUCUUAUCACAAAUAAUGUUUGCAAAAAAAAAAAAAAA